CAUUCCUCGGUGCUUCUCGAAGAAAUUAUCCCGAAUUUGGUGUCCCCAAACUUGGAAGGCCUGGUCAAGGAGGAGUUGCUCAGUGAACUACUAGUUUGAGUUCCCUGAGACGGACACC